rnacentral:tRNA from 4 species
UGCCGGGAUAGCUCAGUUGGUAGAGCAGGGGACUGAAAAUCCUCGUGUCA